rnacentral:rRNA from 1 species
UACGUAGGGUGCGAGCGUUGUCCGGAAUUACUGGGGCGUAAAGAGCUCGUAGGUGGUUUGUCGCGUUGUUCGUGAAAACCGGGGGCUUAACCCCUCGGCGUGCGGGCGAUACGGGCAGACUUGAGUACUGCAGGGGAGACUGGAAGUUCCUGGUGUAGCGGUGGAAUGCGCAGACUAUCAGGAGGAACACCGGUGGCGAAGGCGGGUCUCUGGGCAGUGAACUGACGCUGAGGAGCGAAAAGCGUGGGGGAGCAAACAGGG